rnacentral:rRNA from 1 species
GAUGAACGUUAGCGGCAGGCUUAAUACAUGCAAGUCGAGGGGCAGCACGGUUAGCAAUAACUGGUGGCGACCGGCGCACGGGUGCGUAACACGUAUACAAUCUACCUUAAACAGGGGGAUAGCCUUUCGAAAGAGAGAUUAAUACCCCGUAAUAAAUUGAACGGCAUCGUUUGAUUUUGAAAGCUCCGGCGGUUUGAGAUGAGUAUGCGUCUGAUUAGCUAGUUGGUGAGGUAACGGCUCACCAAGGCGACGAUCAGUAGGGGAUCUGAGAGGACUAACCCCCACACUGGUACUGAGACACGGACCAGACUCCUACGGGAGGCAGCAGUAAGGAAUAUUGGUCAAUGGAGGCAACUCUGAACCAGCCAUGCCGCGUGCAGGAUGACGGCCCUAUGGGUUGUAAACUGCUUUUAUACAAGAGAAAACCCUGGUACGUGUACCAGGUUGAUAGUAUUGUAAGAAUAAGCAUCGGCUAACUUCGUGCCAGCAGCCGCGGUAAU